UUUGAGUUUGAUCCUGGCUCAGGAUGAACGCUGGCGGCGUGCCUAAUACAUGCAAGUCGAGCGAACAGACAAGGAGCUUGCUCCUUUGACGUUAGCGGCGGACGGGUGAGUAACACGUGGGUAACCUACCUAUAAGACUGGGAUAACUUCGGGAAACCGGAGCUAAUACCGGAUAAUAUUUCGAACCGCAUGGUUCGAUAGUGAAAGAUGGUUUUGCUAUCACUUAUAGAUGGACCCGCGCCGUAUUAGCUAGUUGGUAAGGUAACGGCUUACCAAGGCGACGAUACGUAGCCGACCUGAGAGGGUGAUCGGCCACACUGGAACUGAGACACGGUCCAGACUCCUACGGGAGGCAGCAGUAGGGAAUCUUCCGCAAUGGGCGAAAGCCUGACGGAGCAACGCCGCGUGAGUGAUGAAGGUCUUCGGAUCGUAAAACUCUGUUAUUAGGGAAGAACAUACGUGUAAGUAACUAUGCACGUCUUGACGGUACCUAAUCAGAAAGCCACGGCUAACUACGUGCCAGCAGCCGCGGUAAUACGUAGGUGGCAAGCGUUAUCCGGAAUUAUUGGGCGUAAGCGCGCGUAGGCGGUUUUUUAAGUCUGAUGUGAAAGCCCACGGCUCAACCGUGGAGGGUCAUUGGAAACUGGAAAACUUGAGUGCAGAAGAGGAAAGUGGAAUUCCAUGUGUAGCGGUGAAAUGCGCAGAGAUAUGGAGGAACACCAGUGGCGAAGGCGACUUUCUGGUCUGUAACUGACGCUGAUGUGCGAAAGCGUGGGGAUCAAACAGGAUUAGAUACCCUGGUAGUCCACGCCGUAAACGAUGAGUGCUAAGUGUUAGGGGGUUUCCGCCCCUUAGUGCUGCAGCUAACGCAUUAAGCACUCCGCCUGGGGAGUACGACCGCAAGGUUGAAACUCAAAGGAAUUGACGGGGACCCGCACAAGCGGUGGAGCAUGUGGUUUAAUUCGAAGCAACGCGAAGAACCUUACCAAAUCUUGACAUCCUUUGACAACUCUAGAGAUAGAGCCUUCCCCUUCGGGGGACAAAGUGACAGGUGGUGCAUGGUUGUCGUCAGCUCGUGUCGUGAGAUGUUGGGUUAAGUCCCGCAACGAGCGCACCCUUAAGCUUAGUUGCCAUCAUUAAGUUGGGCACUCUAAGUUGACUGCCGGUGACAAACCGGAGGAAGGUGGGGAUGACGUCAAAUCAUCAUGCCCCUUAUGAUUUGGGCUACACACGUGCUACAAUGGACAAUACAAAGGGCAGCGAAACCGCGAGGUCAAGCAAAUCCCAUAAAGUUGUUCUCAGUUCGGAUUGUAGUCUGCAACUCGACUACAUGAAGCUGGAAUCGCUAGUAAUCGUAGAUCAGCAUGCUACGGUGAAUACGUUCCCGGGUCUUGUACACACCGCCCGUCACACCACGAGAGUUUGUAACACCCGAAGCCGGUGGAGUAACCAUUUGGAGCUAGCCGUCGAAGGUGGGACAAAUGAUU
rnacentral:rRNA from 1 species